GGGUGGACUCUAGAAGGCUCCAAGCAAAGCUGCAGCAGUUCUACAAGUGAGAGAAACUGGCAGUGGGGACUCAGAGACAUGGAGCCCAUGGCCACACAGUUACCAAGAAAGAGAAAUAGGUUUAAGAAUGUUGGAAAGUGCUCCGGACAACAAACAAGACGGCUUCUCCCGUCAUGGCGGACUGUGACAACCCAGCGGGAAGAAAACGCAGCAGGGCAGGCAGGUAACAAUAUAUGAAGCACAUUGAGAACCUGCGUUAUCAGAGUAAGAAGCAAGGCACAAAUUGAC